UUAAGCGACUAAGCGUACACGGUGGAUGCCCUGGCAGUCAGAGGCGAUGAAGGACGUGCUAAUCUGCGAUAAGCGUCGGUAAGGUGAUAUGAACCGUUAUAACCGGCGAUUUCCGAAUGGGGAAACCCAGUGUGAUUCGUCACACUAUCAUUAACUGAAUCCAUAGGUUAAUGAGGCGAACCGGGGGAACUGAAACAUCUAAGUACCCCGAGGAAAAGAAAUCAACCGAGAUUCCCCCAGUAGCGGCGAGCGAACGGGGAGCAGCCCAGAGCCUGAAUCAGUGUGUGUGUUAGUGGAAGCGUCUGGAAAGGCGCGCGAUACAGGGUGACAGCCCCGUACACAAAAAUGCACAUGCUGUGAGCUCGAUGAGUAGGGCGGGACACGUGGUAUCCUGUCUGAAUAUGGGGGGACCAUCCUCCAAGGCUAAAUACUCCUGACUGACCGAUAGUGAACCAGUACCGUGAGGGAAAGGCGAAAAGAACCCCGGCGAGGGGAGUGAAAAAGAACCUGAAACCGUGUACGUACAAGCAGUGGGAGCACGCUUCGGCGUGUGACUGCGUACCUUUUGUAUAAUGGGUCAGCGACUUAUAUUCUGUAGCAAGGUUAACCGAAUAGGGGAGCCGAAGGGAAACCGAGUCUUAACUGGGCGUUAAGUUGCAGGGUAUAGACCCGAAACCCGGUGAUCUAGCCAUGGGCAGGUUGAAGGUUGGGUAACACUAACUGGAGGACCGAACCGACUAAUGUUGAAAAAUUAGCGGAUGACUUGUGGCUGGGGGUGAAAGGCCAAUCAAACCGGGAGAUAGCUGGUUCUCCCCGAAAGCUAUUUAGGUAGCGCCUCGUGAAUUCAUCUCCGGGGGUAGAGCACUGUUUCGGCAAGGGGGUCAUCCCGACUUACCAACCCGAUGCAAACUGCGAAUACCGGAGAAUGUUAUCACGGGAGACACACGGCGGGUGCUAACGUCCGUCGUGAAGAGGGAAACAACCCAGACCGCCAGCUAAGGUCCCAAAGUCAUGGUUAAGUGGGAAACGAUGUGGGAAGGCCCAGACAGCCAGGAUGUUGGCUUAGAAGCAGCCAUCAUUUAAAGAAAGCGUAAUAGCUCACUGGUCGAGUCGGCCUGCGCGGAAGAUGUAACGGGGCUAAACCAUGCACCGAAGCUGCGGCAGCGACACUAUGUGUUGUUGGGUAGGGGAGCGUUCUGUAAGCCUGUGAAGGUGUACUGUGAGGUAUGCUGGAGGUAUCAGAAGUGCGAAUGCUGACAUAAGUAACGAUAAAGCGGGUGAAAAGCCCGCUCGCCGGAAGACCAAGGGUUCCUGUCCAACGUUAAUCGGGGCAGGGUGAGUCGACCCCUAAGGCGAGGCCGAAAGGCGUAGUCGAUGGGAAACAGGUUAAUAUUCCUGUACUUGGUGUUACUGCGAAGGGGGGACGGAGAAGGCUAUGUUGGCCGGGCGACGGUUGUCCCGGUUUAAGCGUGUAGGCUGGUUUUCCAGGCAAAUCCGGAAAAUCAAGGCUGAGGCGUGAUGACGAGGCACUACGGUGCUGAAGCAACAAAUGCCCUGCUUCCAGGAAAAGCCUCUAAGCAUCAGGUAACAUCAAAUCGUACCCCAAACCGACACAGGUGGUCAGGUAGAGAAUACCAAGGCGCUUGAGAGAACUCGGGUGAAGGAACUAGGCAAAAUGGUGCCGUAACUUCGGGAGAAGGCACGCUGAUAUGUAGGUGAAGCGACUUGCUCGUGGAGCUGAAAUCAGUCGAAGAUACCAGCUGGCUGCAACUGUUUAUUAAAAACACAGCACUGUGCAAACACGAAAGUGGACGUAUACGGUGUGACGCCUGCCCGGUGCCGGAAGGUUAAUUGAUGGGGUUAGCGGUAACGCGAAGCUCUUGAUCGAAGCCCCGGUAAACGGCGGCCGUAACUAUAACGGUCCUAAGGUAGCGAAAUUCCUUGUCGGGUAAGUUCCGACCUGCACGAAUGGCGUAAUGAUGGCCAGGCUGUCUCCACCCGAGACUCAGUGAAAUUGAACUCGCUGUGAAGAUGCAGUGUACCCGCGGCAAGACGGAAAGACCCCGUGAACCUUUACUAUAGCUUGACACUGAACAUUGAGCCUUGAUGUGUAGGAUAGGUGGGAGGCUUUGAAGUGUGGACGCCAGUCUGCAUGGAGCCGACCUUGAAAUACCACCCUUUAAUGUUUGAUGUUCUAACGUUGACCCGUGAUCCGGGUUGCGGACAGUGUCUGGUGGGUAGUUUGACUGGGGCGGUCUCCUCCUAAAGAGUAACGGAGGAGCACGAAGGUUGGCUAAUCCUGGUCGGACAUCAGGAGGUUAGUGCAAUGGCAUAAGCCAGCUUGACUGCGAGCGUGACGGCGCGAGCAGGUGCGAAAGCAGGUCAUAGUGAUCCGGUGGUUCUGAAUGGAAGGGCCAUCGCUCAACGGAUAAAAGGUACUCCGGGGAUAACAGGCUGAUACCGCCCAAGAGUUCAUAUCGACGGCGGUGUUUGGCACCUCGAUGUCGGCUCAUCACAUCCUGGGGCUGAAGUAGGUCCCAAGGGUAUGGCUGUUCGCCAUUUAAAGUGGUACGCGAGCUGGGUUUAGAACGUCGUGAGACAGUUCGGUCCCUAUCUGCCGUGGGCGCUGGAGAACUGAGGGGGGCUGCUCCUAGUACGAGAGGACCGGAGUGGACGCAUCACUGGUGUUCGGGUUGUCAUGCCAAUGGCACUGCCCGGUAGCUAAAUGCGGAAGAGAUAAGUGCUGAAAGCAUCUAAGCACGAAACUUGCCCCGAGAUGAGUUCUCCCUGACUCCCUGAGAGUCCUGAAGGAACGUUGAAGACGACGACGUUGAUAGGCCGGGUGUGUAAGCGCAGCGAUGCGUUGAGCUAACCGGUACUAAUGAACCGUGAGGCUUAACCU
rnacentral:rRNA from 1 species